GUUCCUGUAGAAAAGUCAAAGAAUGUAUACAUGUGAGAUUCUGAAGUAGCCGUACAUGAUGAGUAGGAAUUUGAAGUGAAUUAUGGGAAAAGUGAAAUGGUAAAAAAGAAACUGCUAGCGCUACUGUGCAGACUACCAUCAAUCAACAUGAUCAACAAAAUCAAGUAAUCCUUCUGAAGAUGGAGUACUACACAAGCACAAUUUUUUUAAAGAAAGAAAAGUCAAUGGAAUGAAAGCCAAAGAAAAGGGAUGUAUUAGUAUGGUAGCCUGUCUGCCAACACCUUGUAGAUGAGAUUCUAGCACAAAUUGUGUGAAAUGGUUCUCUUAAUUGACAUGAGAAGGUCACCAUUUUUUAUCAAGAUAAAAAUUACUUGUAUGUCUUGUAAUAACAUUAUUUAAUAUAUCCCUUUCAUAGCACACAUGUUCCUUUCAAAGAGAAGAAAACAUUUAUAAUUUUUCAAGGUCAAUAAUCUCAUGGAUGAAAUGCAGACUGUACUAUUUGAAAUAGGUGGUAUAGGUAUUUCAGAGUCUGUAUUACAUCUUGCCAGUUUAUUGUUCGAGGGAAUAUUCUCAUCAAAUAAACUAUGUAAAGAUUUGCUUUUUAAUGCAAAGUAUUUUUAUAAGUAAUAACUUCAUUUCAACUUAUAAUGAACAGUUAAUCA